AGCAGUUUGAACGGCGACACAGUAUUCGGUCCGUGGGCUGAGGAACCAGUGACCUCUCACUGCCAUGGGAAGAGGCACUGCUUUGGCCACCAGUUUGGUCGGGACGUCCUGGAGGACAGUUAGGAGCCACAGCAGAUCUGAAUGAAUGAAUCAA